rnacentral:rRNA from 1 species
AUUGAACGCUGGCGGCAUGUCUUACACAUGCAAGUCGAACGGCAGCACGGGUGCUUGCACCUGGUGGCGAGUGGCGAACGGGUGAGUAAUAUAUCGUAACGUACCUUAUUGUGGGGGAUAACGCAGCGAAAGCUGUGCUAAUACCGCAUAAUCCCUAAGGGGGAAAGCGGGGGACCGUAAGGCCUCGCGCAAUUAGGGCGGCCGAUACCUGAUUAGCUAGUUGGUGAGGUAAAGGCUCAGCAAGGCAACGAGCAGUAGCUGGUCUGAGAGGACGAUCAGCCAGACUGGGACGGAGACACGGCCCGGACUCCGGCGGGAGGCAGCAGUGGGGAAUUUUGGACAAUGGGGGCAACCCUGAUCCAGCCAUGCCGCGGGAGUGAAGAAGGCCUUCGGGUUGUAAAGCUCUUUUGUCAGGGAAGAAACAGCAGCUCUAACACAGUUUGCGAAUGACGGUACCUGAAGAAUAAGCACCGGCUAACUACGUGCCAGCCGCCGCAGUAA